rnacentral:rRNA from 1 species
UGCGUAGGCGGAUAAAUAAGUCAGUGGUGAAAUCUUUCGGCUCAACCGGGAAACUGCCAUUGAUACUGUUUAUCUUGAGUUCGGUAGAGGUAGGCGGAAUGUGUAAUGUAGCGGUGAAAUGCUUAGAUAUUACACAGAACACCAAUUGCGUAGGCAGCUUACUAAGCCGACACUGACGCUGAGGCACGAAAGCGUGGGGAGCGAACAGGAUUAGAUACCCUGGUAGUCC